rnacentral:rRNA from 1 species
UACAUGUGGGGCAAGCGUUGUUCGGAAUUAUUGGGCGUAAAGAGCGUGUAGGCGGUCAGGUAGGUCCGUUGUGAAAACUCGAGGCUCAACCUCGAGACGCCGAUGGAAACCAUCUGACUAGAGUCCGGAAGAGGAGAGUGGAAUUCCUGGUGUAGCGGUGAAAUGCGCAGAUAUCAGGAAGAACACCCGUGGCUAAGGCGGCUCUCUAGUACGGUACUGACGCUGAGACGCGAAAGCGUGGGGAGCGAACAGG